CCUACGGGUGGCAGCAGUGAGGAAUAUUGGUCAAUGGGCGCGAGCCUGAACCAGCCAAGUAGCGUGAAGGAUGACGGCCCUACGGGUGGUAAACUGCUUUUAUAAAGGAAUAAAGUGAGGCACGUGUGCCUUUUUGUAUGUCCUUUAUGAAUAAGGCUCGGCUAACUCCUUGCCAGCAGCCGCGGUAAUACGGUGGACCCGAGCGUUAUCCGGUUUUAUUGGGUUUAAAGGGAGCGUAGAUGGUUUGUUAAGUCAGUUGUGAAAGUUUGCGGCUCAAGCGUAAAAUUGCAAUUGAUACUGGCAGCCUUGAGUACAGUUGAGGUAGGCGGAAUUCGUGGUGUAGCGGUGAAAUGCUUAGAUAUCACGAAGAACUCCGAUUGCGAAGGCAGCUUACUAAACUGCCACUGACAUUGAUGCUCGAAAGUGUGGGUAUCAAACAGGAUUAGCUACCCCAGUAGUC
rnacentral:rRNA from 1 species